UUUUUUUUUUGGUACUGGGGAUUGGAUCCAGGGGCACUUUGCCACUGAGCCAUAUCCCUAGCCCUUUUCCAUUUUUGUUUGGAGACAGAGCCUUGCUAAGUUGCUGAGGCUGGCCUUGAACCUGUGAUCCUCCUGUAGCCCACAGAAUGGCUUGGAUGAUAGGCAUGGGCCACCAUGCCCAGCUAUAAAAUUUAACUUUUAAUAUGUUUUUAUCUGGAGGAAAGGGUCCACAGAGGCAGAAGUGGCCAGGGUUUGUGACGAAGGUUAUGCUGCGACUCUGGGCUGAACCACCUGGAUCCAGGCUGCAGGUGCACAUAUGGGGCCCAGGGUCAGCCUCCUUUCUGGGAGAGAAGACAGAGGAACUGGGCAAGGCUGGAGCUCCCAGGAAGGAAUCAGAUAAACUCACUGGCUGGGGAUGGAGACCUGGGGAGGUUUGAGCAGAGGGCUGAGUGGCAGAGAUCCUGGGCUGUGAUUUGGGAUUAAAGGUUGUUAACAGAGGAGUAAGGCCCAGUAAACAGGCUGCAGCCCUGCCUCCGGCCCUGCCCAUUCACUUCCUGCUAAUAGCUCCCCUGUGCCUCUCCACACCUCGGCCUGCUCAUGCCCCUCUCUAGGGAAGACUGAGGGCCAGUGAGCCAGGGAGGUGAGCCCUUCUGCCUAGGAGCACCCAGCAGCCAUGAGUCACGGUCUCCUGACAAGGGGGCUCCCUUUUGCUCACCGUUUCCUUUUGAUUUUAACAAGGGCCCCUAGCAGCCCCUGGCUCCUGGCCUGGUCACAAGGGACCAAACAGUGAGUCACUGAGGAGCUGCCUCAAAAGCUAACCGAAAAUUAGCUUUGAUUCCCGGGGAGGUUUGGCUCACAGCUGUUCUGUGGCAGAAGAGGGGUGUUCCCAGGAAGAGCCAGGUUUCUGAGACAAUUGCUUUCAUGACCCACUUCCAGUCCUGGCCUGCCCAGGACAGGGCCCCUGCAAGCCCCUACUGGUCUAUACCUGGGGCAGAAGACGGAGGAGUGGAGGGCCAGAGGCUGGUGGGGACAACCCGGCUGUCUUCCGGGCAGACAGACAUUGUCCCAGCUGAGGUUUGAGGUGGCAGUGUGGGUGGGACCUGGUCUGGAGGACACUUGCAGACAUUUGGGAAGGGUCUUGGUAUGGCUUUCACACCACCAGCACCAUGUGGCAGGGAGUGUCAGCAAGACCAGGGCCUGAGCGGCAGCUCCUCUGCUCUGGGGCUGUGUGAACUUGGCCAGUCCCAUCCCCUCCCUGAACCCAGCUGCAUCCUCCAUAAAACAGAGACAAGUGACUGACCUUGCAGGGGUGUGAGCCAGACGGAAAGGAAGGGAAACGCGGAAAGCCCUCUGCAGGGCCUUGCCCAGGGGAGAAGCCCAUAAAUACGGGCCCCUCCUUCCCUCCCUGCUUACCUGGCCACAGGAGGCAGUGCCUGUCCCAGGAGCUCAAAGCACUUAUCCCCAUCGGGGACUAGCAGGCAGCCUGGCCAGGGCUCCGGGCAUUUUGAUAGGAUCAUUGUCCCCACUUGACAGAUGAGGAGAGAGGGGUGACAGGUGAGGACUGAGGGUUGAUGCUGAGGAGUGAGGAGUGAGGGAUUAGGGAUGAGGGUGGGCGUUGGGGUGGUUGGCAUGGAGACCAGGUGGAGGUGGGUGGAGGAUCGUCCCUUCUUCUCAUAGCCUCUGUUUCAUCCCUCAGAACUUUAGGGAUCCUAUAGACCUCUUUGAACAAAGUGGGGGAUCACCUUAUUCCUGGAAGGACUGAUUGCUCAUCCAGUCAGUAAACUACAUUGAGGACCUACUAUGUGCUGGGGAUACACUGCAGAGCGAAACCAGGCCUGGUUCCCUAUUGGCUGGAGUCAUUGAAGAUUCUGGAGGUACGGGAGCUUUCAGGCAUGGCUGGAUCAUGGCUCUGGCUCUGUUUCCUUUGCAGUUCUUCCUCUCCUGCUCCUUCUCGGGGGACUUCUUGUGUGGUUUCAAGGUGUCUGCAUGUGCCACAAGGGCCUCCUGCUUCCUCAUUCACGUGGGGGCAAGUAGAAGAGGCAAAUCUUCCCACGGUCAUCCCUCAAAGCCCCCUACUUUGUUUUAUAGGAACAACAUGGACCAAUCUUUGUUGCAAAGAGAGUACGAUGGAUUGGCUUGUCCUUUGAGGCUCACCCUUGGUUCCAGGGAAGGGGAAAUAUGUCACCCAACUGCCCAGUUGCUGUGCCAUAAGGGAAGGGAGACUCCCCAAGCAAAACUCUGGGUUCUGUUAGGAGGGCAAAUAGAUGUUGCAGAAGCCAUUGGAGCAUGUCCCUCUACCCUGUGUGCCAGAACCCAGGGCAUUUCUGGAACCACCUUCAGCAUAUCCAGAAGUGCCUUUUAAAUCAGAGGUAGGAUGAGGAGAAAGGCCUGGUCUUUUGAGGUGGGGGACAAAAAACAAAUCUAAACUAAUUUGAUAAAAUUGUGAAGCUGGAACUACCCCCAGAGAAACAUCCAGAAGACCUUCAACUAGAUUCGGGCGACUCUGGAGAUAUUCUCUCUAAGCCCCAGAAUCUUCAUCCAGAGAUAUGAAUUUUGCUGUUCCAAGUUGUUGGAGGACAUGCAAUUGGCAUCCAGGAAGUCACCAUACCAAGAAUGCCCCAGGGUGUCCCCUACCAGCCAGAACACAAACAAAACCAUUGAAGGAAUUGGGCUCCCUUACACAGAGAGAAAUGACAACGAUGGGAGGUAAGAGGUAAAAACAAACAGAACCUAAGCAAGGAGCUCAGGGGUUCUCAGAAAUCUGCAACACAAAGGAGCCACCAGAAGGGGAGCCGCCUGAGCAGCAGCAAACACCUAGAGUUGCCCCGAGAUGCUCGAAAUAGGUGCGAAUUAAUGGUUCCCACAUCCUUGCUAAGAGAGAAAAGACUCCAACAGGUUCAGCUUAGCAGACAUUUAUGUUUCCAACACUGUGUUGAUGGACAGAUGGAAAGGCUCCCCGCUGAUCCCGGUGGGCACAGACAGGUUAAUGUGUGCACGUCUGUAGCAGGGGUGUGGCGUAGAGCAUUUGGGGAGUCACAGAGGAGGGGACAAUUAAUUCUGCUUGGACAGCCUUCAAAGAGAGCUGUGGAGCAGCAAGCAGGGCUGUCACCAGAGCUGGGACCCUGAAGGGUAAGUAGGGUUCAGCUGAUGGUCAGGAGGGACAUAGAAUAGGAGCUGUGGGCGCUGAGGCCCAGUCCUAUGAAUACCUUUCCUUUCUUCUGCAGGGCAUCCCCUGUCCCUUUGAUAUCAUCACCCAACUCCUCCCAUUAGGGAAAACCUCUCUCUUAGUGUCUAUGAUCAGAACUGCCCAUCAUAAUGAGGCACAUGACCCAGCCAGCCAAUCAGUCUUUCUCCUGGGACUCUUUUCCCCAGAAUUUGCGCUAGCUUAAGAAGAGCAGAGCCAUUUGGUCUUUGGUGUCCUAAAGAGAUUAUUCAUGAUUACUGAAACUUUCCAGGUCCUAACCUUCCCAAGGCCUGGUGGAUUAACUCCUCCUUCUAUUUCAUGAGUGGUCCAGCUUUCUUUCAUCAAUUUUUUUUUUUUUUGGUUUAGCCAGAAUAAAUUGCAAACAAAGAACGUUAAUCGAAAUGGCAGUUGGUGCCAGGAUGAGGAUUAUAGACGAUAGAUCCCGAGGGAAAAAGGGAAUCUGGGAUAGGAUUGCUGGGCAGAGAUUUGGCAUACCCUCCGCCCAUCCACAGCUGAUCAACAGCUGCCUGCUCAUCAAGAGCAGAGCUUGGGGCCUUAGUGGUUGCUGUCAUUCAAGAGGGAGGCCCCUGGGUGAGAUGGUUGCUUUGACAGUAUCAGGUCAAUUAAAGAGGGAAGAACUUAUCAUCUCCAGCAGUGUUCGCCGUAUUAUAUCUAACAUUUGUUUAUUUCUUUUGUUCUUUCCUAACAGAAUGUAAAUUCCUUGAGGGAAGGGAGCUUUCAGGCAUGGUUGGGUCAUGGCUUGCACAGAGCGGGCCUUAUUGAUGAACCAGUGCACACAUGCGUUAACAGCAAGCUCUAGCUUAGAAUUUCUAGAAUAAAACCCACAAAGGUCAUUUCAGAAAGGAUGGAAGGAACUUGAUUUUUAUUCUCAAAAAUCUGGGGAAGAAUUGUGGAAAUAAAUGUUGAGGGUUUCUCCUCUAAGAAUAAAACUUGAGGUCAGAUUGGAUUUAUUAGCAUUGAGAUGUUUCUUCUAGAUCUGGUUUAACAAGAGAUAGAAUUUAACAUUCAUGAAAAAGCUAUGGAAGUUGAAACGAAAAGAAAACACUAAGAAUUUAACUCAAUGAGAAGCAAUUGUGGUCUCCUAAACAUGAGAAAAAUGUACCACCUUCCUUUAAAUAAGGAGGGGGGUGUUGUGACUGAUUGCACAAAAAUCAAAGUCAAUCUAACUAUCUGCUGCUUAUAAAAGCACAUAUAAAAAGCUAUUCAUGGCAAGGUAUUGCAUGUCGAGUAAAAGAUCUUUUGAACUUUCACAACUGUGGGAAAUUGAGGGCUUGCUACCAUGAUUUAAAAAGCCACAGGAAUAAAGCAUUAAAAAGCUAGUGUUACUCUAUAAUGGUAAAAGAUACAUAGCAGAAAGCAAUGACCUGUGGCUGGGGACUAACUGCUCAUUUUCCAGAUAUUUAUUAUUAAACCCAUUAAUGAAGUACAAAUGGAUGACUGCCAAGGAAGCAGAGGAUACUCAUGUCGAAGAAAUAGAAAGUAUGACCCUUUCAUACAUUCACAGAAGAGAAAAGGAAAAUGGCUGAAUAUUUUUGACCAAAAAAAUUACUCAGCUCCUCUGUCUUUACUGGAGACUGUCUUCAAGGAUUGCAAGGAUAAAGGAACUCUGCUAAGUAAUCUGUUUUGCAUUGUAGACAAGGAUGGUUAUUCUUGUGGGGAGUGUGUGCCCUGUCUCUGGUGUUUCCAUCCAACAUGUCAAACACCCAUGGGUUAACACUCCUGGUCUCCCUCCACCCAUUCCCUCAUUCCUCCCUGCGUGAUUCUUACCUGAUUGACAAGUUUGGGAGAAGCAACUGGGCAUGUCCAGUUCGGCUCCUCUUUCUCCUGCCUCAUGAAGCGCUGCCUGUCUGUGGAGGGUAUGGGCUUUGGUCUGCUUAGGGGUGGGUGGCCAGCUUAGCUGUAAAGGCUCUGCCCCUCUGGGUGUUCAGCCUUGCGGGUGAGUAUGUAGGCUAGUCAUCUAAUUCUGGUAAAUGGAACUAGGAAGUUAUUGUUCUCAUAAUCAUAAGCCUCCUAUUCUGAUUUAGCCUUAGUCAAAACGUUCAAAGUCAGAAAUCAUUUGAUCACUAGCCGACUGACUCAUUUGUGUAUGGAAAAUGGUAAUAUUUAAGGAUAUUGCCUCCAAGAUCAUUAACCUCAGAGCUGAUGAGAUAGCUAG
rnacentral:lncRNA from 1 species